rnacentral:rRNA from 1 species
UACGUAGGGGGCAAGCGUUGUCCGGAUUUAUUGGGCGUAAAGAGCUCGUAGGCGGUUCCGUAAGUCGAGUGUGAAAAAUCUGGGCUCAACCCAGUCGAGCACUCGAUACUGCGGUGACUAGAGUUCGGUAGAGGAGUGUGGAAUUCCUGGUGUAGCGGUGAAAUGCGCAGAUAUCAGGAAGAACACCCGUGGCUAAGGCGGCUCUCUAGUACGGUACUGACGCUGAGACGCGAAAGCGUGGGGAGCGAACAGG